rnacentral:lncRNA from 1 species
CUUGUGUUUAGUAAGUAGAAAAGUGAAAUGAACUUUGUAUGCAGUUGUCAAGAUGACACAAAAGUUACUUUCCGUAAAAUUAUUAUGAAUAUUUCAUUCCUGUUGAUUAACUUUCAUAUUGUACAACUGAUAACAAUGCAACUUGCAAACAAUCGUUUUUAAAACAACCAUAUUUCUAGUUGUUACGUCAAUUAGGGGGUCUCCUUAUAAACUGCUACUUUUUUUUGCCCGACAUAAAAUAAAUCUGGGAAAAAUUACGAAUAUAUAGAAAUGAAUUAUCAAUCGAUUUAGAACAUUCCCA